GUUCUAGUGCUUUGUUUUGUUCAGACACAGCUUUCAGUUUGUAUCGCUAUACAUUGUUUUCGUUUUUGGGACUGAUGAACCAUGACAGAACAGUUCUUUUUCCAUUCCACAUAUCCCUCAAAAGAGCUAAAACGGCCUCAGUAUCAGCUACCUUUUGACAGGUAUGAGAGGUAAUGCUUUAUGGCCUAUAGGUUUUACAUUUACAUUAUUGCAUUUAGCAAAUUCUUUAAUCCAAAAUGACAUGGUGCGUUUCAAUGUACACAGAUUGCCAGCGUGUGUUCCUUGGGAACUGAACCCAUGAACGCAGCUUUGUUAGCGCCAUGCUCUACCAGUCAAACUACAGCAACAAUAUAACUGUUGUUGGGGACUGGUUUCCAUGGAGAGCUGACAUUCUGAGUGUUGAGAGUGGACAUGCAUAAUCGGGAAGGACGUAUUAUCUGCUGUACAUUACGGAGGUGGAUAGAUUGUUCUCCUGAAACCGCUCUGCUGGCUAAUACUGUACUGCCUAAGCCAUCCUCAGUGCCAGCCACUUGUCAUUCACACCAAGUGCCAUGCCGACAGGCCUCUUGGGGGCAGGAUUAGUGUACAUAUACUGACAGGUAUAAAAAAGCUGUUAUCCUGACAGCCAGGUGUAUCAAUUGUAACCCUCAUAGUACCAGAAUCAGCAUUACAGGCAUUUGAAUAUACUCACACAUUCCACUCUCUCUUAUAUCACUGCAGGGCCUGCAAGCAACAAACCAGGAUGGAAAUUUAAAAUAGCUUCUAUUCAAUAAAUCUAGUGUCAAUGAGUGACUCA
ensembl:lncRNA